GUGACCAAGUAUAUCACAACCAAGCAUGAAGAUCCUUCUUAGGGUUUACAAGGGAAAUAAAAGGUAUAAAUAUAAAAGAGAGUCAUCAAUGGCGUCAUGUUUGAAACGAACAAAAAGAAAUUACAAGAUAAUCAUGUGCCCACAGGUCUUCACAGCAAAUCCAGCAAGACCAUUCUCCCUCCUGAUCAGGAAGACGAAAAAUCAGAAGCCCCAAAGAUUUUGGUUUUAAAAAAACAAUGCUCAGGGGGGAAGUAGAAUCAAAAUUCCCCCUACCUGUAUAACAAAUAACCAUGACAGAGGAACAACAUAACAUAAAAGGAAAACAAAAUACUAAAUCCCAAACAAAACAAGAUAUACAUCCCCAACAAAAUCAAGCUACUUAAAAGUCGUUAUAAUUCUAUUCAAAAUUCUGUUUCUUCUCUUUUAUUCCCCGUCUAUUUUCCUUCAUUGCCAUCACCAAAUGUAAAGACUAAACUCAUUGAUUGCUUGAAGAAGCACACAAUAGCUUCCAACCCCUGGUCGACGUAAAAAUUAACUCUUUAACUUGGAUUUACAACUGGACUGCGAAUGUUGAGCACCAGCUUGUCCAGCCAUCUCAUUGCCACACUAAUUAGAUGGAGUACUUAAUUCAGCAGAUGAUGAUCUACUAAGAUGUGC
rnacentral:misc_RNA from 1 species